CAGUCGAGCGAAUUUUGGCAGAGUACCGCCAGAGUUAGCGGCAGACGGGUGAGUAAUACUUGGGCAAUCUGCCCUUGAGAGGGAAACAACCUGCCGAAAGGCGGGCUAAUGUCCCAUAAGACCACAGGGAUGCAUAUCCAAGGGGUCAAAGCUCCGCAAGGGGCGCUUGAGGAGGAGCCCGAGUCCUAUCAUGGUAGUUGGUGAGGUAACGGCUCACCAAGCCUUUGACGGGUAGCCGGCCUGAAAGGGUGAACGGCCACACUGGCACUGAGACACGGGCCAGACUCCUACGGGAGGCAGCAGUGGGGAAUUUUGGACAAUGGGGGCAACCCUGAUCCAGCGACGCCGCGUGGAGGACGAAGGUCUUCGGAUUGUAAACUCCUUUUGGAGGGGAUGAAUGCCCUGGUGAAAAACCAGGGGUGACAGUACUCUCUGAAUAAGCCACGGCUAACUACGUGCCAGCAGCCGCGGUAAUACGUAGGUGGCAAGCGUUACUCGGAAUCACUAGGCGUAAAGCGCAGGUAGGCGGUUUGGUAAGUCUGUUGUGAAAGCUCCCGGCUCAACUGGGAGAGGUCAACGGAAACUACCAGGCUCGAGUGUGGUAGAGGAAGCUAGAAUUCCCGGUGUAGCGGUGAAAUGCGUAGAUAUCGGGAGGAAUACCUAUGGCGAAAGCAGGCUUCUGGACCAUCACUGACGCUGAUCUGCGAAAGCUAGGGGAGCAAACAGGAUUAGAUACCCUGGUAGUCCUAGCCCUAAACGAUGCUCAUUAGGUGU
rnacentral:rRNA from 1 species